CAGCCGCCGCGGUAAUACAGAGGGUGCGAGCGUUAAUCGGAUUUACUGGGCGUAAAGCGUGCGUAGGCGGCUUCUUAAGUCGGAUGUGAAAUCCCUGAGCUUAACUUAGGAAUUGCAUUCGAUACUGGGAAGCUAGAGUAUGGGAGAGGAUGGUAGAAUUCCAGGUGUAGCGGUGAAAUGCGUAGAGAUCUGGAGGAAUACCGAUGGCGAAGGCAGCCAUCUGGCCUAAUACUGACGCUGAGGUACGAAAGCAUGGGGAGCAAACAGGAUUAGAUACCCGUGUAGUCCCUGUCUCUUAUAA
rnacentral:rRNA from 1 species